CCCGCUGAACUUAAGCAUAUCAAUAAGCGGAGGAAAAGAAACUAACAAGGAUUCCCCUAGUAACUGCGAGUGAAGCGGGAAGAGCUCAAAUUUGAAAUCUGGCGGCUUCGCCGUCCGAGUUGUAUUCUGGAGAAGCGUUUUCCGUGCUGGACCGUGUACAAGUCCCUUGGAACAGGGCGUCGUAGAGGGUGAGAAUCCCGUCUUUGACACGGACUGCCAGUGCUCUGUGAUGCGCUCUCGAAGAGUCGAGUUGUUUGGGAAUGCAGCUCAAAUAGGGUGGUAAAUUCCAUCUAAAGCUAAAUACAGGCGAGAGACCGAUAGCGAACAAGUACCGUGAGGGAAAGAUGAAAAGAACUUUGGAAAGAGAGUUAAACAGUACGUGAAAUUGCUGAAAGGGAAACGCUUGAUGUCAGUCGCGUCGUCCGGGGAUCAGCCUUGCUCUUUUGCUCGGUGUAUUUCCUGGUCGACGGGUCAGCAUCGGUUUCGACCGUCGGAAAAUGGCUCGAGGAAUGUGGCACCCUUCGGGGUGUGUUAUAGACUCGGGUCGAAUACGGCGAUUGGGACCGAGGAACUCAGCACGACCUUAGGGUUCGGGGCUUCGGCCCACGUCAACGUGCUUAGGAUGCUGGCAUAAUGGCCUUAAGCGACCCGUCUUGAAACACGG
rnacentral:rRNA from 1 species